UACGUAGGGGGCAAGCGUUGUCCGGAAUUACUGGGCGUAAAGAGCGCGCAGGCGGCUGGGCAAGUCCGAUGUGAAAGCUCCCGGCUUAACUGGGAAAUUGCAUCGGAAACUGACCGGCUUGAGGGUGGGAGAGGGUAGUGGAAUUCCCGGUGUAGUGGUGAAAUGCGUAGAUAUCGGGAGGAACACCAGUGGCGAAGGCGACUACCUGGCCCACUCUUGACGCUGAGGCGCGAAAGCUAGGGGAGCGAACGGG
rnacentral:rRNA from 1 species